rnacentral:misc_RNA from 1 species
AUCUCAAGGAGGAGUGUUGACUGAUUGAGAUUCAUUUUGGAGACAGAUUUGGUUAUUUUUUUGAAUUGUAUCUUAGUUAGUUUCUCUCUUAUAUUUAGCCAUAAAUUCUGGUGUAGUUUGUGGUGUUCCAGAAUUUAUGGAAUUCUGUCUAAGUUACUCUAGUUGGUAUUAGUUAUUGACCAGCUGUACUAAGCUUUUGUAAUUUAUACUCUUUGAAUCUCAGCCAUAUAUUGAAG